UCACUGAAGCGUGUAAAAUGGCUUCUGGUAAGACUGCUAAUAUUUAUACAGACUCUCUCUAUGCUUUUGGUAUAGCCCAUGAUUUUGGCCCUAUAUGGCGGGCUCGUGAUCUUAUCACCUCAGCAGGAACUCCAAUCAAGAACUCUGAAGCCAUGAGUGCACUUAUGGACGCUAUCCUGCUACCCACUCAAGUAGGCAUCAUCAAGGUGGCAGCU